CCUACGGGAGGCAGCAGUGAGGAAUAUUGGUCAAUGGCCGAAAGGCUGAACCAGCCAAGUCGCGUGAAGGAUGACUGUCCUAAGGAUUGUAAACUUCUUUUGUCAAGGAAUAAAACGAGGCUCGUGUGCCUGUUUGAGUGUACUUUAUGAAUAAGGAUCGGCUAACUCCGUGCCAGCAGCCGCGGUAAUACGGAGGAUCCGAGCGUUAUCCGGAUUUAUUGGGUUUAAAGGGAGCGUAGAUGGGUUGUUAAGUCAGUUGGGAAAGUUUGCGGCUCAACCGUAAGAGUGCAAUUGAUACUGGCAGUCUUGAGUACAGUUGAGGUAUGCGGAAUUCGUGGUGUAGCGGUGAAAUGCUUAGAUAUUACGAAGAACCCCGAUUGCGAAGGCAGCAUACUA
rnacentral:rRNA from 1 species